CUGGCCGGGCGGGAUGCGGCUCUGGCAGGCUUUCUGCGUGCCGGAGCCAGCUGCAGCCCAGGCAGCGACCGGCAGGGAAAAAUCCAGGCGGGCUCCCAGCACCAUCAUCUGCGGGGAUUAUUGAGGAUGGUAAAUCAAGCUGGGACCUCAUGGCUCUCCAGGGACUCGCUGUUAUUCCCUGUAAUCACCAAUCUGCCCUGCCCUUCACACACAGGAGCCUGGCACUGUUUGGCAUCACAAGCCGUGACUGCCACCCCAGUGAAGCCAAGGUGGGAUGGACCCAAAGGGCAUCACCCCCCAGCUUCUCCUCUGGGAUUGACAGAAGACUAAAGGAUUUGUUAUUUUUACACUGCAAUCCAAUAAAUUCAACAAUCUGGUCUGUCCGUGUUAUUUCCCGGCUCUGGUAUGUUUGAAAUCCCCACCUCCAGGAGCCCUGUGAUUUCGGGAAGAUCUCAGCCCCGCUCUCCUCCAACCCUGACCUCACCGUGGUGGGGUGAAAGGUUGAAACCACAAGCCCCAGGG